rnacentral:snRNA from 1 species
GUGCUCUCUUCAGCAGCACAUAUACUAAAACUGGAAAGAUAACAUGGCCCCUUGCACAAGAAUGACACUCAAAUCCAUGAAGCUUUCCCUGUUUUU